rnacentral:misc_RNA from 1 species
GAAAUGCGAUAAGUAGUGUGAAUUGCAGAAUUCAGUGAAUCAUCGAAUCUUUGAACGCACAUUGCGCCCUUUGGUAUUCCUUAGGGCAUGCCUGUUCGAGCGUCAUCUAAACCUUCAAGCCCUACUUGGUGUUGGGUGCCUGUCCCGCCUCCGCGCGCGGACUCACCUCAAAUCCAUUGGCGGCCCCCGCGUCGGCCACGAGCGCAGCAGAAACGCGAACUCGUGAGCCCGUCCGGGCGGCUCCCAGAAGCUACACCCACCCAGUUUGACCUCGGAUCAGGUAGGGAUACCCGCUGAACUUAAGC